CCUACGGGAGGCAGCAGUGGGGAAUAUUGGACAAUGGGCGAAAGCCUGAUCCAGCAAUACCGCGUGUGUGAAGAAGGCCUUCGGGUUGUAAAGCACUUUCAAUUGGGAGGAAAACCUGCCGGUCAAUACCCGGUAGCUUGACAUUACCUUUAGAAGAAGCACCGGCUAACUCCGUGCCAGCAGCCGCGGUAAUACGGAGGGUGCGAGCGUUAAUCGGAAUUACUGGGCGUAAAGCGUGCGUAGGCGGUUCGUUAAGUCAGAUGUGAAAGCCCCGGGCUCAACCUGGGAACUGCAUUUGAAACUGGCGGACUAGAGUUUAGUAGAGGGGAGUGGAAUUUCAGGUGUAGCGGUGAAAUGCGUAGAUAUCUGAAGGAACACCAGUGGCGAAGGCGACUCCCUGGACUAGAACUGACGCUGAGGUACGAAAGCGUGGGUAGCAAACAGGAUUAGAUACCCUGGUAGUCCACGCCGUAAACGAUGUCAACUAGCCGUUGGGCCUAUUUACAGGUUUAGUGGCGCAGCUAACGCAUUAAGUUGACCGCCUGGGGAGUACGGCCGCAAGGUUAAAACUCAAAUGAAUUGACGG
rnacentral:rRNA from 1 species